CAAUCUCUGAUGCGUGCUAGAUGGUCUAGAUGGUUUGAUUUCCAUACAGGCAACGAAGAAAAUUACACCGCCAAACUUGCGAAAGACUUUCAGGCAUAUUUGAAAGUCUGCUUAGAGGGAGACGGCGAGUACUCCUUUUGUUCCCCAAGCCAUCUUCCUUCUAGCUACUCAGCAGGCGAUGCAGAUAUAAGAGUCCGAUACAGUGAGCUCGUCUUGUGAAUCUAGGAGUUGCAUUUGCUACAUUUGUUGAGAAGACCA